rnacentral:pre_miRNA from 1 species
CAAAUACUCCCUCCAUCCCAAAAUUCUUGUCUUAGAUUUGUCUAAAUAUGAAUGCAUCUAGUCAUGUUAUAGUAUUUAGAUACAUCUAUUUCUAGACAAACCUAAGACAAGAAUUUUGGGACGAAGGGAGUAUAUA